UACGUAGGGGGCAAGCGUUGUCCGGAAUCAUUGGGCGUAAAGAGCGUGUAGGCGGCCCGAUAAGUCCGCUGUGAAAGUCCAGGGCUCAACCCUGGGAUGCCGGUGGAUACUGUCGGGCUCGAGUCCGGAAGAGGAGUGUGGAAUUCCUGGUGUAGCGGUGAAAUGCGCAGAUAUCAGGAGGAACGCCAACAGCGAAGGCAACACUCUGGGCCGGUACUGACGCUGAGGAGCGAAAGCGUGGGGAGCGAACAGG
rnacentral:rRNA from 1 species